AUUGAACGCUGGCGGCAGGCCUAACACAUGCAAGUCGAGCGGAUGAGGGGAGCUUGCUCCUGGAUUCAGCGGCGGACGGGUGAGUAAUGCCUAGGAAUCUGCCUGGUAGUGGGGGAUAACGUCCGGAAACGGGCGCUAAUACCGCAUACGUCCUGAGGGAGAAAGUGGGGGAUCUUCGGACCUCACGCUAUCAGAUGAGCCUAGGUCGGAUUAGCUAGUUGGUGGGGUAAAGGCCUACCAAGGCGACGAUCCGUAACUGGUCUGAGAGGAUGAUCAGUCACACUGGAACUGAGACACGGUCCAGACUCCUAAGGGAGGCAGCAGUGGGGAAUAUUGGACAAUGGGCGAAAGCCUGAUCCAGCCAUGCCGCGUGUGUGAAGAAGGUCUUCGGAUUGUAAAGCACGUUAAGUUGGGAGGAAGGGCAGUAAGUUAAUACCUUGCUGUUUUGACGUUACCAACAGAAUAAGCACCGGCUAACUUCGUG
rnacentral:rRNA from 1 species